GAUAAAUAUCGGGUUGAUUUAAUGUGAUGAGUAAAUAAAUAAUUACUAUUAAUAAUAAUUAAGCGUUAGAAUAAUAAAUUAAGAUUGAGCCGUACUUAAAAAGUAUUAAAAAGUGAAGUGAAAAAUUUUAGUGAGCAUGAGCCGGUUGAUGGUGUCUGCGUCUUUCAGAAGCUCUUUGUUUUUAAUGCGCCUACACAUUCAAAUGCGCGCGAAAAUUUUUAUUCCAGCACCAGCCGGUUCUGGGAAUUAUGCCAUGACAUUUUGGACCGUCACUGACAUAUUGUGCGGAUCAAAACACCACAUGCCGUCGGCUGUCGCGGUUUGAUUUUGCCCGGAAACAGACCGCGCACACGAGGAGGCCACAUACGUGAGUGACAGCCAAACAGACAACAUGAUAAGCGCCAGCAGUCCUUUAUUAGUAUCGCAUGUCCUUUAUGGAAAUCCAGGAUCGCUAUGGUUUGCUGGAUGACCAGAAGGCUUGUGUACGAACAUGAAACGAAAAUGGAACGGUGGAAUAUAACGCGCGAUGUUUAAUUUACACGGGAUGGCUGUUGGCGAGACAACUAGUGCGGCGAGUUGGCAAAAAGAAUCGUAUGUGAUUCUCUUAAUGAGAGUACAGAGUAAAGCUUUCUUUGGGUGAUGCGAGUGGUGGUUGUGCUGGCCGCAAAAGACGUAUCAGGCAAGCUAAACGCAACGGGCGGUAUUCUCAUCCUUUAUAUAUAUAUAUGUAUAUAUAUAGAAACAUCGUCAUCUAUACCAUGGAACCAGUAGCAGCAAAGGCACCAGC